AUUGAACGCUGGCGGCAUGCUUUACACAUGCAAGUCGAACGGUAACAGGCCGCAAGGUGCUGACGAGUGGCGAACGGGUGAGUAAUGCAUCGGAACGUGCCCAGUCGUGGGGGAUAACGCAGCGAAAGCUGCGCUAAUACCGCAUACGAUCUAUGGAUGAAAGCGGGGGACCGUAAGGCCUCGCGCGAUUGGAGCGGCCGAUGUCAGAUUAGGUAGUUGGUGGGGUAAAGGCUCACCAAGCCGACGAUCUGUAGCUGGUCUGAGAGGACGACCGGCCACACUGGGACUGAGACAAGGCCCAGACUCCUACGGGAGGCAGCAGUGGGGAAUUUUGGACAAUGGGCGCAAGCCUGAUCCAGCAAUGCCGCGUGCAGGAAGAAGGCCUUCGGGUUGUAAACUGCUUUUGUACGGAACGAAACGGCUCUGGUUAAUACCUGGGGCUAAUGACGGUACCGUAAGAAUAAGCACCGGCUAACUACGUGCCAGCAGCCACAGUAAUAC
rnacentral:rRNA from 1 species